rnacentral:lncRNA from 1 species
GGAGUUGGAUGAGGUGAUAGCAAGCAAUGGCUUCUUCAUCCUCAGUUCUGUGACUCUUAGACACUAAAUUUGAGUAACUGAAAUGGACUAAGAUACAGCCAUCAUAUGAAUAUGGGUUUCAGAUGUACAACAAGACAUGGAAAAACUGACAGUGUGAACAGUGAAGAAAAAGGAAGAAAUCCACUUUGGAUCAUGGUUUAGAAGAAAUAUGGGGUCCAAAAAAGGGUUUCUUUUUUGAAUCUGCCAUGCUAUGAAGGACGUGAAAAUCAGUUUUACUGGAAAGAUGAUGGACUCUCAUCUGAGAUUGCCCCCUGGAGGACAUAGGGAGCAACCAGACAGCAUCUGCUUCCUGCUCCAGGGAGGAUCAACAUUAAUUAAUGCAACAGAGCAGCUGGUUCUCUCUGAGCUACUGAUUUGGAUUCAGCUGCAGUGAUUAUUUCUUUGUGCAUCAUUUGGCUUUGUGCAUCAUUUGACUCCUCAAAAGAUCACACAUUGUUAUGUUUUACAUCUAGACUGUCUCACAAAAGUCCCAUAAGUUCAGAGGUGGGACUUUUGGAUGGUGACUGGAUCAUGGAGGUGCUGUGCUCUUCAGAGCAUUGAGCACACUCUCACACAAAUGCUUGUGGAUGGACUAUGUGAAAUUGAACCAGAACUUCAGGAAUGAAGAAGUGAAGUCAGAAGAACUAGUAAGCUGGAAACCAAAGGCAGAGAGAAAUACAAUCAAGGAAAUAUUAAACUCAGAUUGAAGACUAAAGGAGUAGUAAUAAAUAUUUCCCCAAGUACAUGAGACUCUCCCUCUCUAUGUUGGCUGUGGAUCCCACUCAAAAUUCAAUCAUGCUAUGAAAAUGUUUUAUCACUCACCUACAUCCUGGAGAAAAGAAUAUCAAGAUGCUUUUUCUCUUCCAAGCUGAAUAACACA